AUUGAACGCUGGCGGUAUGCUUAACACAUGCAAGUCGAACGGUAACAGGAGAGAGCUUGCGUUCUUGCUGACGAGUGGCGGACGGGUGAGUAACGCGUAGGAAUCUGCCUAGUAGUGGGGGACAACUCGGGGAAACUCGAGCUAAUACCGCAUACGCCCUACGGGGGAAAGCCGGGGGAUCUUCGGACCUCGCGCUAUUAGAUGAGCCUGCGUUGGAUUAGCUUGUUGGUGAGGUAAUGGCUCACCAAGGCGACGAUCCAUAGCUGGUCUGAGAGGACGAUCAGCCACACUGGGACUGAGACACGGCCCAGACUCCUACGGGAGGCAGCAGUGGGGAAUAUUGGACAAUGGGCGAAAGCCUGAUCCAGCAAUACCGCGUGUGUGAAGAAGGCCUGCGGGUUGUAAAGCACUUUCAGUAGUGAAGAAAAGCCUGGAGUUAAUAACUCCGGGUCUUGACGUUAACUACAGAAGAAGCACCGGCUAACUCAGUG
rnacentral:rRNA from 1 species